rnacentral:rRNA from 1 species
UGGUAAUGCCGGAUGCUCCAUCACACCGCAUGGUGUGUUGGGAAAGCCUUUGCGGCAUGGGAUGGGGUCGCGUCCUAUCAGCUUGAUGGCGGGGUAACGGCCCACCAUGGCUUCGACGGGUAGCCGGCCUGAGAGGGCGACCGGCCACAUUGGGACUGAGAUACGGCCCAGACUCCUACGGGAGGCAGCAGUGGGGAAUAUUGCACAAUGGGCGCAAGCCUGAUGCAGCGACGCCGCGUGAGGGAUGGAGGCCUUCGGGUUGUAAACCUCUUUUGUUAGGGAGCAAGGCAUUUUGUGUUGAGUGUACCUUUCGAAUAAGCACCGGCUAACUACGUGCCAGCAGCCGCGGUAAUACGUAGGGUGCAAGCGUUAUCCGGAAUUAUUGGGCGUAAAGGGCUCGUAGGCGGUUCGUCGCGUCCGGUGUGAAAGUCCAUCGCUUAACGGUGGAUCCGCGCCGGGUACGGGCGGGCUUGAGUGCGGUAGGGGAGACUGGAAUUCCCGGUGUAACGGUGGAAUGUGUAGAUAUCG